GCCAUCGGAGCCAUUGCACUGCAUCCCUGAUAAGCCAAUUAAGUAUUGAUCAGAAGAGGAAGAAAGAAGAGCGUUUUAUCAUGCAGGAAUUGAAGAUUAUUAUGAAGAUAUAGAGGAGUUAAGAAUUCACUGGCAGGAUGGUCACUGGUUUUGGCAGCAAUCUAAUCUCCUGGAAAUGAGUAGAGUAGUGAUUGUCAUAGUUCAACAGUGAUAACUCUUCGCCGUCCCUCACAUGACGGGUGACGACUUUGGUGCCCGUUAAAUGCGUGUGCAGUUGAGAGCCGAAAAUGUGAAUGCCACUUUGGGGCAGUCCGACUCCGGUGCACUCUGUUAUGCAGUGACCAGAUAGCAUGAAGGCUUCCUGAAAAAAUAAAUGAGGCAAAUUUAAAGAUUGCACAUCUAAAAAUCUACUCCUUUUUAAAGAAAAAAAUGCACAAACUUUUAUUUUUUGAGAUAAAUAGAUAAUCUGUAAGUUUAACCGCGAGAUUCGUGUAUGAAAUCUAUAUAAAAUGUAUUUAUUUAAAUAAUUUUUAUGUAAAGAAUAUUUAUAUAAAUGUCAAAUUGUAAUUCGAAUUUUGUUUAGAUUUCAAUAUUUCGUCACGUCGGCACGAGCUUACAGUCGAGAAAUUUCCGAAGAGUUGCUAUCGAUCAAUUUUUUCAUACCUGUUGCGGAGGUAUAGCCAUCUUAUCAGUAUACUCGAGACCAAGCUCGAUGACACCGGCGUCAUACUUUCUGAGAGUCUUAGUUAGAACAAAUCGGAUUCCAGAUGAAUCAACGACGCCUUGGUGCAGCUCAGGAUUAUUGUAAUGCACCUCCAACAUGACAUGCGGAUUGAAAUCGGCUCCCCCAAUAGAUAGACCGGCUUCUUCCGGAUAUAUAAACGCAUCGGCACCCAUCGCCCAUGCUGCCAACACCUUCUUGCAAAUCUGCUCCAAAAUGAGCAUUAUUGAAGUGGAUUUGAAAAUUAUGCUUGAAAACACAAUUUUUAUUUUCAGAAAAUGUCUUGAACAAUUGAGACACAAGAUAAUAACAAUUUAAAUUAGAAGAUAAAAUUGUUACUUUCUAGUUUUGGAGAUUUCAAUAUAAAAUUUUUUAUUUUAAUAGCAGAAAUUGUUCGAAGUAUUUCAAGUUCUUAAUUUUAAUAAAAUAAGUUUUAUAAUUACUAAUGCAAUUAUAUUAAUUAUAUAAUGCGAUAUCUGUUGUAGACACCGUUUUACAAGAAAACAAUUACCUGUGUUUUUUCGGGUCUAUCUGCUCCGUCACAAGGUCCAUCGUACAUUGGUAUUUCUAGAUCCACUGAUCCGGCGCAAUGAAAGACUUCCAUGUGAUGUACAAGAUGUUCGUUACCCGCUUGAAUAGCGGGGCCAAAUUGUAGGAUAUGAUGCCUGCGAGUAAAUGUGGUUUCCUGUUUUGGUACUUGAACCCGGUGGGCGAGUAACUCGAGCUGCCAGGCAUUCGCGGGGAAUUUGGGCUUUUUAUGGGACACCCUGAGUAAUUCCGUACGCGACAUGCCCGACGCUUUUGCAUCCGAUAUCUCGAGGCCGGCCAAGGAGGACAAUGGUCCGCGUCCGCGGAGCCACACCAGAAGCGGUUAUAACAACGAACAACUUUGUUCAAAAUCGCACCUCCAGUGGAAAGUCGCCUCCGAACCGAGAGGAACCGUGUGCACCGUGUCUCCAACUACAUGUUCACCAGUCGAGGAAUCGCGCCGAGACCAACCCGA